UCUUUCUUUUUCUUUUCCUUCUUUUCUUUCUCUUUCCCCGACUGCUCUCUCUCUCUUCUCUUUCUCUUCUUUCUCUCUUCUCUCCACGGCAACACACCACCACCACCGCUAGGACCCAACCUCCGGCAACCACCAUUUUUGGCAUAAGGCGGCUCAUUGGAUUCGACUUUCUCCAGCGACCUCAACCACCAAGCGGCACCGCCCAACUCUCCGUAAGUUGUUCGAAAUAGUCAGUCAAAGUUUUGGUCCGUCAACUUUGACUGUGUUUUCCGGCCAACUCCGACCACCACUUGGCAAGUGGUUGGUACCUUUGGAACCAGCAUGAAGAGAGGAACAAAACCCACUAAGUCAUUCCAGUCAACUCAUCAUUUUUCUCCGACAAGAUUUUGGGUAUCUCCGCCAUUUGGAAGCGUUUUCCGGCGACACCGGAAGUCAUUUGGGAAAAAGAGCUGUAUUUUCGAGAUGUACUCAUCGAGAGGAUGGUUUUGAUAUAUGUCAUGCAUAUAUUCUUCGACGUUUCCGGUACCGCACCAAUCGCUAUUGUACACCGCUAGGGAAAAAUGUGCUAUUAAAAUCGGACUAAAUCAUUCUAAGAUCAUCGAUAAGCUUAGGAGCGUUGCUUUGGGCUCGGAUUAAAUUCUAAAGAGGAGUCUAGUGACGCGAACGUGGAAAAGAUGAAUUAUCGAUGGAACCAAUGUGUUUAGCUUAUUUCUAUUUCGUGUCAUUAUCUUAUCUUUUGAACAUUGUAUGUAUUCGACUUCGAAUCUAAUGAUCGGUAUAUUUAAAUGAGUUAUGAAAUAGUUAGAAAUGAGAAAUGGUGGAUGCUAAGUAUUAUUUUGGGUGUUUAUGACUUGUUAAAUUUAACUAUUUGGUGAUUACGUA